UAAAAAAAAAAAUUUUUAUCUUUUUGCUGACACUGUGUUAAACUGAUUUAUCACGAAUAAGCGUCUAUAAAUAUCCAGUAUUUACAAAUCAUCAUCACGAAGAGACAGUUCUUAUGAUCACUGCAGUCAAGCAGUGUUGGUGACGGGUCUUGACAUGAAUAAUAAACGAUAGAUAUAAGUAUGGUUUAGGUUUAGGCAGUAUGGAAACAAUGUGAAUUUAUUUUUCCGAGUGCUUUUUAUUUAUAAUUUUGUCAAAACAAAGAAGAAUCCGAAUGUAAUAUCACGAUAAUAAAUUAUAAAUUUAUUGAAUUAUGAAAUAAAUUUGUGGUGUAUAUAGUUUGCUAGGAUAAUACUUACAGCAAAUAAUAAAACACAGGCGCAAAGCACGAGACUUUUCAUUCUGUAUAAUGUAUAUCCUUACUGUUGUGAGCAAAAUUAUUCAAAAUAACCGC